AUCCCGACUUACCAACCCGAUGCAAACUACGAAUACCGAAGAAUGUUAUCACGGGAGACACACGGCGGGUGCUAACGUCCGUCGUGAAGAGGGAAACAACCCAGACCGCCAGCUAAGGUCCCAAAGUCAUGGUUAAGUGGGAAACGAUGUGGGAAGGCACAGACAGCCAGGAUGUUGGCUUAGAAGCAGCCAUCAUUUAAAGAAAGCGUAAUAGCUCACUGGUCGAGUCGGCCUGCGCGGAAGAUGUAACGGGGCUAAACCAUGCACCGAAGCUGCGGCAGCGACACUAUGUGUUGUUGGGUAGGGGAGCGUUCUGUAAGCCUGCGAAGGUGUGCUGUGAGGCAUGCUGGAGGUAUCAGAAGUGCGAAUGCUGACAUAAGUAACGAUAAAGCGGGUGAAAAGCCCGCUCGCCGGAAGACCAAGGGUUCCUGUCCAACGUUAAUCGGGGCAGGGUGAGUCGACCCCUAAGGCGAGGCCGAAAGGCGUAGUCGAUGGGAAACAGGUUAAUAUUCCUGUACUUG
rnacentral:rRNA from 1 species